CAAAAACCUUAUUCUGAUUGACAUUUACUUUUCAAGAUGUGUGCUCAAUCUUCUCCUGCUCUUUUAUUAUACUCUCCUUUGUAUCGGUAUUCAGAAAAAAAAUCCUCAUCACUUGAGAAGUGCAUAGCAACAAGGAGCUGCCACAACUGUCUACUGUGCCACUGCUCCAGAGCUGGAGGGCCUGGGAGGACUGUACUUCAACAACUGCUGUCGCUGCUUGCCAUCACAAGAGGCCCAGAACGAAGUGACGGCUGCAGCCUUGUGGGAACUAAGCGAGAGACUGAUCCAAGAACGAAUUGGCAGGCAGUCCAAAUAACAGGGAGCUCCUGUAAGGAUCAAAACACACAGAGUAUGUGCACACUAGAAAACUGCCAACACUGGAACCUUUCCAAUCUUAUCAUCUAGAGGGUUUCCAUAUACCUCAGAUACAGAUUAACCAGUGUUAAAUGAAAUAAUAGCAGUCACAACAUAGUGAAAAAUGUUAAGUACCAAUGGGAAAUGGGGAAUACUGUGGGUUAAAGGGACAAUAUCGCUUUCUGGGGCUUAGUUAGUCUUGGUUCUCUUUCUUUUGAUUAUAGCCUGUUCAAAGUGUAACCCAAGGAAGCAUCUUUUAUGUUAUUUUAGAACAGCAAUUCUGAGAAUAUUUUUGCUGCUUUAAUGAAUGGCUAAAAAUAUAGCCGGAUACGGGAUUUCCUUUCUGUUUUGGUAAUUAUUCGCAGUUAGCUGUUAUGCAUUGAUCAUGAUAGCUCCAUUGAUGCUUUUCCCUAAAAAUUUUUACCGGGUGUGGCAAAUACAAAUGAGAGGAAGGAGGAAGGAAAGCUUUCCUGCCCUUGGCCACUAGCUACAAAUAUAACUGCGCUGUCUAGAAAAAGAAGGUGCAAGAAGACAUCCAAACAGAAAUGGCAGAGUCACUGCUAGUUAAAUAUUGCAGGUUUUCCUUAAAAGAUUAUAAUAAAAGAUAUGUUGUAAACCAUUCCCUAAAUACCGUAGGGGUAGGAAAGAUGGUGUUGUCUCCUUAAGAACACACAAGGGUGUAAUCAGGGGUUUAAAUGUUAUUCCAUCCAUGUCUUGGUUCACAGUUUUAAGAAGUUUUUUGUUUUAAAGGUCUUUAAAGGUUCACAGUUUCUCAGUUCUCCUGAUACUGUAUCCUGUUCAGCUUUUUUUUUUCCUUUCAAUUUAAAUUUAGUAAAAGAACAUGCUUGAAUAUUGUCACCUGAAGAGAAAGUUUGUCUCAUUGCUGCAAAUGUUUUAGUUCCUUUUUUUUUUUUUUUUAGAAAAGAAAACUUGAGGAAAAAUAAAGAGCUUCUUGUUGAUGUCAUGAAA